rnacentral:rRNA from 1 species
GAUGAACGCUGGCGGCGUGCCUAAUACAUGCAAGUCGAGCGAACGGACGAGAAGCUUGCUUCUCUGAUGUUAGCGGCGGACGGGUGAGUAACACGUGGAUAACCUACCUAUAAGACUGGGAUAACUUCGGGAAACCGGAGCUAAUACCGGAAAAUAUUUUGAACCGCAUGGUUCAAAAGUGAAAGACGGUCUUGCUGUCACUUAUAGCUGGAUCCGCGCUGCAUUAGCUAGUUGGUAAGGUAACGGCUUACCAAGGCAACGAUGCAUAGCCGACCUGAGAGGGUGAUCGGCCACACUGGAACUGAGACACGGUCCAGACUCCUACGGGAGGCAGCAGUAGGGAAUCUUCCGCAAUGGGCGAAAGCCUGACGGAGCAACGCCGCGUGAGUGAUGAAGGUCUUCGGAUCGUAAAACUCUGUUAUUAGGGAAGAACAUAUGUGUAAGUAACUGUGCACAUCUUGACGGUACCUAAUCAGAAAGCCACGGCUAACUACGUG